rnacentral:lncRNA from 1 species
UAAAAGUUUUCACAUGUUUAAUCUUUAACCUAAAAAUAAUUUUAUUCUCAGUUAUUCCUACAAGUUCUUAAUUCUUAUAAUGAUUGUUGCUACUAUAAUUAUUUUAUUUUUAUUUUAUUAUUUUAUUUUUUUUUUUUCAUAGUGCAACAAAUGGAAAUAAUAAAAGGUUUAGAUAAAAAUAUACAAACAUAAAUAAAUAGACAAUAAUAAUUGUCAAUUCAUAUGUAUGUUUAAAAUAGUACAAAAUAAUUACUACAGUGCUGAUCGAAUUAUACACUUAAAUAAAUUUUUUUUUUUUUUUAUAUAUAUUUUAAGAGAUGUCAGAUGAGCUUAAAAGCAAAUCAGAGUUACUUCCAACUCCUCAGGACAUUUCUAAUAAAAUUCACAAAGUAGACAAAGGUUUUAUUGAUAAAUUGAAUAAAGACAUAAUUGAUGAAAUAAAUUUAGCACAACAUAAACCACAUGUAUGUGAUGAACCAAAUUAUGAACGAGAUUAUUCAUACUUGUGUCCACAAGACUGGAAAAAAACCUCAAGCGAUCAAUGCUGGUGUGUAAAUGAAGAAACAA